CACACAGCAAUAAUAAAGCAGUUCUGAAUCACAUACAUGGCACCUGCCUGCACAUCUGGCUCUUCUGCUUGCACUUAAGUAGACACACAGGCUUACUAGAGUUACCAGGUAAUGGAAAAGGACCGGAUAAGGAGGUCUGCCGGCCAUGUCUUCUGGCCAUGCUGCCAGUUCUUUAAUGCAAAUCCUCAGCACUGAAGAUUACUGAGUUGGGUAAUGUUCACUCAAGGCUGCAAACACUUCCAGGAAUUGUUUCACUGAUUUAUGAGGAGAGGUUGUGCAGUCCAGCUGCACAUUAGAGCAACCGAUGUCUGCCACAGGGCUAUAGAAGAUGCACUGGCCUCUGUCAGUAAAUGAGCCUGAUGUCUAAGGGUAUUGAAGAGAGAGGGACUGAAAGAAAUGGGGUACCAUAUCCACGUCACCCAAGAAACCACGCUGUGAAUGCUGCGAAGUACAAGCAGGAUCGAAGAGUCAGACCCACACCAUUCCUGCUCACGAUGACACCCUGGCAUCUGAAGAACAACAUGACACCCACCACAAAACGCUGCUGUUGGCUAGCGCUGUCUUAAACGGUGAGGUUUCAUGAGGGAGGUGAGACUGCCAAAGGAAGGCAAGUGGGGGUGUCACAGCAACGGGACCAGGCCACCAGCAUGACUCUAGUCUAUGAGACCUGUAAAAACUCCAGAGAGGGUAGUUGUGGUUUAAUCGUUUCUUCUACCCCUAUAAAGUAAAAGGCAAAGCUAACAGUUACCAUAUGGUAAAGGUAUGAUUCAAAGCCCUGCGUAGUGAGUGCCACGAGGACAAAUAUGCACGCACGAUUAUCUCCGUGCUGAGAGAUGGGGCUGAAUGUAGGAGUGAAAUAAUUACAAAGCGCUGGAGCAAGAGCAGCAAACAGCAGGAAAAUCACCUGUGAAUAGAUGUGAGAAACUGGAAGUGUACUCCAGUGUUUGUGUGGUCAUCAAAAUCAAACGUUCAGGAGCUGGAAAUCCAACUGCCGGGAGGGCAGACUGAUACAUUUAUAGGCACGUAUAGCCCGUGCCUUAAACUUUGAGUCUGCAACGUUGUUAGUGAGGUAUCCUCCUUUAUAAUGCUUGGCAUUUGUUCCCUUGGCAUUUAAAGAAGAUGGGCUGUUUUAAUUACAAUUUGAGCGAAUUCUUUAAAAGAAAAAAAAACCAAACUGCAAAAUGACUGAUGCAAAUCCCGGCCACUCGUGAGCACAAUGAAAUUCUACUGAGCAGAGAGGACACCGGGAGAGGCUCCCGAUCAGCUGCAGCAGAGAAUGCCCUGCGCUACGCAGCCCUCAGACGCCGGGAUUCUGAAAUACGAAUUAGACCUCAAAUGCAAAUCAACCUCCGAAGGGGGAGAAGGAAAAAAAUAAUAAUAAAAAAAAAAAAAUCAGAGAGACAUACCGAGUCAAACGCUCCUUUUUCUGCCUAUCUCGUCCCCAGUGUUAAAACAGGCAAAACAAAACAAGUGCACAUCAAGAUAGAGCCAAUUAAGGGGAAGGCAGCGCGGAGGGCGGGUGGGAGGCAGCCACCUCGCCGAGCACAUGGGGAGCGGGAGCGCAUCGCCCCACCUCGAGCCGUCCCUGAGCCUUCCGAGCUCUCCCAGGAGGACAACGGGGGGCGGACGGCGCCGUCCAACCUCCCGCAGCCACGAGCACAGCGGAUCCGGCACGGGAGAGUUCGGGCAGCGCGGAGCGGUGCGCUUCGGCCAAGGGUGGCACCGGGAUCCCAGCGCAGUGCCGCACUCCGCGCGGCCGGGCUUUACGCACAGCGCAGUACGCGGGAGGUGUCUUUACGUUUAACGUUUUAAUUUGGACAUGCUAAUUAGGCUGUGGGUCUCCACGGUUCUAUCGGCGGAUAGCUGAUCGCUUCCCUCUGCGAGGAAGUGUCUGCUAAAUACAUUUCCCGGCCCCGAUCUCCGUUCCCAGAAGCCCGUCUAGCAGAACCGUCCCGUCGGGCGAAACGGACCUUUAAUAAUGGAAGGCCGAGGGAGGUUCUGCGCAGCGGCGCACCGCCUCGGGCACGGCCCCAACGCGGCCCUCUGCAGCGGAGCCAUCGAAAUAACUCCGUGCCCAGCGAACUUGUUGCUCGCUUUCAGCUCCUCCGCUCACCCCGGCUCGGGUCGGUGCCAGGCGAGGGGCAGAGGCAGCCUGGGGGAGAAGCCGCCGCUGUCGGGGUGAGAAACUUCCCGGGCUCCAAAGCCGCCCGCUCUGGGCGUCGAGGGGCAGCGGCCGCUCCGCUGCUGGGAACUGCGCCCUGGCCAUGUGUUUUCCCCGUGUGGAACGUUGCUCGCAAGUGCGGGAGGUGGAAAGUUUUGUUCACGUCAUUAUCUCAAAGCUUUCCCCGCGCGGUCAGUGGACGCAGAGGCUUCACUCCGUUUUCCGAAUGAAAACCCACGGACGCUUGAUGUGAAAAGUGCAUGCUCCCGUGGGCCGUGCUUUCCCCGAUUACUUUCUUUUUUCUUUUUCUUUUUCUUUUUUUCUUUCACUUUCUUGGCUCCGUCCCGCCAGGAUCUCUCUACGUUUACGGGCUGUACGGUUUCCAGGGCUCCAAUGGGGCUUUCCCUGAUGGAGGCGAGGAACAGAACUUUCCCACUCGCUCGGAAACUGCCGAGGAUCCGGCGGGGGGAGCACACAAAGAGGCCCCAAAUCCCCCCCGGGGCUCAGGGACAUCCCCUGCAGGUGCAGGACCAAAGCUGCAGGGAUGGCCCAAAGCGGUGCAUGUGUCGCUCUCGUCCCCUAUUAUGAGCACUACGGGAGUGAAACGGGGGGUGCGGAGCGGGUUCUUGGGACAGCGGUUCUUGAGCCCACGCACGUUGGUGAAGGGAAACGCGGGGCCGUGCGCGCCGUCGGGCUGAGCCAGGGUUAAUGCCUGCGGGCCCAGACACGCUGUGCUCCGGGCGGGGGGUGGGGGGGUGGUGGCGAGGGGGCUCUGCCAGCUGCUCCCGCAGCGUGGGGAGCGGGAGGGGCGGAAAGGAGGAGCCAUCAGAUUAGGGCACACAAAAACAUUUAAAAAAAUAAAAUAAAAAAAAUAUAUAAAAAGACUACUUUUCCAGGCUUAACACAGCCAUUAAAUAUUAAAAGUUCAAAAAAAAUUAUAUAUAUAUGUAUAUAUAUAAAAGACCACGAGUCGUUUUAUUGCAUCUCCACGGGCUUAAGCGCUUUAUUUGGGCGAUAAAAAAUAUUAAAACAAACAAAUAAAUCAAAAUCGUGUGUGUAAUUGGUGCCCUCACUCCCUUGACGGCCUCGGAUCCCUCGCAGGUAUCGCCCCCCGAUCCCGCAGCUCCACCCCCAGCAAUCCCG
rnacentral:lncRNA from 1 species